rnacentral:rRNA from 1 species
UACAGAGGUCUCAAGCGUUGUUCGGAUUCAUUGGGCGUAAAGCGCGUGUAGGCGGCCCGGUAAGUCCGCUGUGAAAGUCCAGGGCUCAACCCUGGGAUGCCGGUGGAUACUGUCGGGCUCGAGUCCGGAAGAGGCGAGUGGAAUUCCUGGUGUAGCGGUGAAAUGCGCAGAUAUCAGGAGGAACACCAAUGGCGAAGGCAGCUCGCUGGGACGUGACUGACGCUGAGACGCGAAAGCGUGGGGAGCAAACAGG